rnacentral:rRNA from 1 species
GUAGGUGAACCUGCGGAAGGAUCAUUAAUG